rnacentral:pre_miRNA from 1 species
AAUAGUUUUAUGCCACAUCAGUACUCUUAUCCUGAAUUUCAGGAUUUUAUCCUAAAAAAAUUAAAUUUAUAUUAAAAUAUUAAAAUUCAAGAUAAAAUCCUGAAAUUCAGGAUAAGAAUACUGAUGUGGCAUAAAACUAUU